CCCUAUGGGGUGCAGCAGGCAAGAUAUUAAAAAAAUAUCAUUCCGAUAAUCCCAUAGCAAAAGGGAUGGACAAAAAUGAGUUUCGUGAAAAACUGGCAUCGGCCCUUUAUACUGAUAAGGAAAAAUCUUCAGAAGCUCUUUUGAAACUUUUGACAGAAAGAAAAAAAAUCGAGAACAGGGGAAAUUCAGUGGCUAUUUCCGGAUUCAGCAUAAAAUAUACAAAAGAGCAGAAGGAAACAAGAGAACAAAUAGAAAAAUAUUGUUUGGGAUCGGGGUUUGAAGCCCGUGAUAUGGAGGCUUUUGCAGCGGGCAGGAAGGACGAAAAUAUUUUAAGCAGAUAACAGAAGAUAUGGUGUCUGAAGGAAUACUUGUAAAACUCAAUUACAGGUAUUAUAUGCACAGCAAAGCAUGGGAGAGC
rnacentral:rRNA from 1 species